rnacentral:rRNA from 1 species
AGAGUUUGAUCCUGGCUCAGGAUGAACGCUGGCGGCGUGCUUAACACAUGCAAGUCGAACGAUUAACCCAAACUUCGGUUUGGUUAUAAAGUGGCGAACGGGUGAGUAACACGUGACCAACCUGCCUUCUAGAUCGGGAUAACUCAAGGAAACUUGUGCUAAUACCGGAUACUCCGGAGCAAUCGCAUGGUAGCUUCGGGAAAGCUUUUGCGCUAGAAGAUGGGGUCGCGGCCUAUUAGGUAGUUGGUGGGGUAGAGGCCUACCAAGCCUGCGAUAGGUAGCCGGGUUGAGAGACUGAUCGGCCACAUUGGGACUGAGAUACGGCCCAGACUCCUACGGGAGGCAGCAGUGGGGAAUUUUGCGCAAUGGGGGCAACCCUGACGCAGCAACGCCGCGUGCGGGAUGACGGCCUUCGGGUUGUAAACCGCUUUCAGCAGGGAAGAAAUUCGACGGUACCUGCAGAAGAAGCUCCGGCUAACUACGCGCCAGCAGCCGCGGUAAUACGUAGGGAGCGAGCGUUAUCCGGAUUCAUUGGGCGUAAAGAGCGCGUAGGCGGCCUCUCAAGCGGGAUCUCUAAUCCGAGGGCUCAACCCCCGGCCGGAUCCCGAACUGGGAGGCUCGAGUUCGGUAGAGGCAGGCGGAAUUCCCGGUGUAGCGGUGGAAUGCGCAGAUAUCGGGAAGAACACCGAUGGCGAAGGCAGCCUGCUGGGCCGCAACUGACGCUGAGGCGCGAAAGCUAGGGGAGCGAACAGGAUUAGAUACCCUGGUAGUCCUAGCCGUAAACGAUGGGCACUAGGUGUGGGGAGGAAUUCUCUCCGUGCCGCAGCUAACGCAUUAAGUGCCCCGCCUGGGGAGUACGGCCGCAAGGCUAAAACUCAAAGGAAUUGACGGGGGCCCGCACAAGCAGCGGAGCAUGUGG